UACGUAGGGUGCGAGCGUUAAUCGGAAUUACUGGGCGUAAAGCGUGCGCAGGCGGCUUUGCAAGACAGAUGUGAAAUCCCCGGGCUAACCUGGGAACUGCAUUUGUGACUGCAUGGCUGGAGUGCGGGCAGAGGGGGAUGGAAUUCCGCGUGUAGCAGUGAAAUGCGUAGAGAUGUGGAGGAACACCGAUGGCGAAGGCAGCCCCCUGGGUCAAGAUUGACGCUCAUGCACGAAAGCGUGGGGAGCAAACAGG
rnacentral:rRNA from 1 species